AUGUUCAGGUAUCAUGCAUUCUAAAAUUGUAAUGAAACAGAGAAGACUGGCUGGUCCCUCACAUAAGGACUGUGUGGAUAUUUGUGAAGCAUCCCAAUGUGCU
ensembl:snRNA U6 U6 spliceosomal RNA